AUACGGAGGACGCGAGCGUUAUCCGGAUUCAUUGGGUUUAAAGGGUGCGCAGGCGGCCGUGCAAGUCAGCGGUGAAAGCCCGGGGCUCAACCCCGGAAGUGCCGUUGAUACUGCAUGGCUGGAAUGCGGUCGAGGCGGGCGGGAAGGGGCGCGUUGGGGUGAAAUGCGUAGAUAUGCCACAGAACGCCGAUAGCGGAGGCAGCUCGCCAGGCCUGCAUUGACGCUCGGGCACGAAAGCGUGGGGAUCGAACAGGAUUAGAUACCCUGGUAGUCCACGCCGUAAACGAUGGGCGCUCGUCGUCGGCGGCAGACAGUCGGCGGCCAAGCGAAAGCGAUAAGCGCCCCACCUGGGGAGUACGGUCGCAAGGCUGAAACUCAAAUGAAUUGACGG
rnacentral:rRNA from 1 species